ACCCUUCUACUCCCAUCAUAUUAAAAUUACGGAUUUUCCGUCAAGGUGACGUGAACGGGGCAACCGAGGGGUCACUGUUUACGAAAUUUUUCUCAGAACUGGGGGUACCGAAUCGAUUGAAAUUUUAUAACGGGAUGAUAAAUACCCUGGGAAAGGGUUUGAUAACCAUGACAUUCCGUUUUUAUAACGAAAGUCAAAAGUCGGAAUAUACAAAGGUGGGAUACGGAACUGCGCACGCCUGGGUGGGAGUCCCUAUAUAAUGCCGAGCGCGCGGUUGGAGCGUCGUUACCCUUUGGUCUUCCAAAGGGUUAACAUCCUAUUAUAUACUUCUACCAUUGCUCCCACAUACAUGCACACACCUGUAUGUAUGUUGGAGCAUUAUUAAUGUCUGAUUCAACCCUUGAGUAACAAUCAAACUCCGGUUAACUUAGGUUAUGAAACCGAGCCUUAUGAGAGACAUCCCCCUUCCUCCCAUUUCCUUUCCUACUAUAUUUAACUUAAUUUAUUACAUUUGUAAUGGGCUCGAUACGCAGCAACCUCCACGUGGUGAGCCUGGGGGAUUGGUGGUUUUCAACUAUCGUUGGAAACCACCAAUUCGCUAAUAGCUGCGCGAAUGAUUCUACUUAGCUUGUUUUUUUUGUUGUAUAAUAGUAGUCUAAUGUAAAUAAAAGUGGAAACAUUCAUUCCGUGCGUGCGGUAGUGUAACUUGCGGAAGAGACAUUGUCGGGUACUUUUUCACGCAGCAAGCAAUUUCGGAUUUGCAUUUGCUAAUCGAGGUAGAUUCUUGCGGGUAUGGCAAUGCCUUACCCUUAGCGUAUCUGGCAGCUUCCGUCGGCACCCAGUACGUCGUAGCUAGGCUACGGCGUGCAAGGCUGCCUGGCUCAGGUUGUCAGUUUGCGAUGCGGUGCUUCGCUUUGGCGGCAGCCUGCUGGGGCUCUGCCUGCUGUAAGUCGGGCCAAGUCCGUUGAGUGAAGCUCGUAUUCGCGAGCUGACAGCCGGGCUGGGUUAGUCGCCGGUGACGGUGGAAGCUGCUGGAUUGUUCGCGUUAGAAGUAGUAUGCCACUUUGGCAAUUUAUAUCCGAAAUUCGAGGCCAACUGGAAGUGUAUUCUGCGACUUCUCUUAUACUAAGCGGCGAGUAUUGUAUGGAUGUAUGAGUAUGGUAUGAGAGUGGUAUGUCGUAUGGGUUAUGGAAUCCUGGUUCUGCGAGUUCCUGGGACGCUGGGAAUUCGACGGAACCAGGUGCCUAUGCUUAGGCGGGUCCCAGUUGCAGCGGCCUCCUCGUGGCGGGACCUGGGGGAUCGGUGUCAUCCCCUAAGGAUGACACCGAUCCGCAAACUAGCUGCGAAGUAGAAUUUAGUUAAGAUCAAAUUUAACCUUCCGACUUGUCUCAUACUUACAUGACAUGAUAAGAAAAUUAUAUUGUUGAACUUCUAAUUAUAGUACAUGUAAAUAUGAAUGCAAUACAUAAUAAAAUAAUUUAGAUAGACUCGAGUGCUCUUCUUCACUUUUAAUGGUUUUCCAUCUUCACGCCUUUUGUUCAUAUAACCCACUACCUCUCAACGAUUUUCGAUUUGCGAGGCAUAUACCUUUAUUUAAAAUAUUACUAGACCGGAAAUGCUAGUAAUCUCGUUUUUUCAUAUAGCGAAUACGUAAUUCGGCGCAUAAACCCACGUGAGAUGAAAGUCCGAGAAGUGAGCGUUCUCGUUAAAAAUACGUAAUAAACUCCCUGAUGAUCACGAGCAGCAGAUGCGACAGGAUAGUAAGAUUGCGUUCCGUGCUGCCCUCGGUGUAGAAUGCGGGCGACUCGCGCACUUGCCUCCAAUGGUGGACAUGCAUAUUAUCCGGACUGUAUUCGGUUGAACGCGCAAAAGAACAGUCAUGCGCAGAAAGCACAGAGAAAGGGACAGAAGUACCCCCUGGGACUCUCUGUCGGCGUGCACCUGAAGCAUCGAGGUAUAUUGCCGUGCGAGUGCCAGUACUGCCAGAGUAUCGGUACAGUCGAGUGGGGGCACCCUCCGGGCGAAGUCGCAGUUUACGCGAAAUUCGGCGUUGCGCGUAGCGAUUGCCGGGGGUGCGGGAGUGGUGCAUAAAUUCGUACGCGCGCGUCCGGCCGUACGAGGUGCGAGAGGGAUCGACAAGUGGACGCGUCUCGACGAGGACUAAAGACGACCCCUCGCGACGUGGUAGACUGCCCUCGGUGUCGCUUCCUUGUGCUCCCUGUCAAGGCAGCCAUUUCCGGGAGUGAACGGUCAUCCGGCGAUCCACGGGCUACGGAAGAGUGACGGGUAAACCUUUUUCCAGACAGUGCAUCCAUUUCGUUUCUCGGAUCGCUCCGUCCGCUCGAUCGGUGCCGUGCGCCAUCUUGGAAUUUCCGGGGACAGUUUCGGAGUCCGCCGUUCGACGGCGCCACCAGCUACUCUACGGUCUCGAAGAAGGAAACGUCCUCGGGAUAUUUCGCGUGGCCGAUAGAGAUAAUGGUGUGAAAUUCUCCCGUCCGGAUGUGCCAAGAUCGCCUGGAUCGAGUCCUUAAAAUCUGCCAUCUUGAAACCUUCCUCGUCUAGUUUGGCGUCCCUCCGCGCGCAUCGCCACCCGCGCCGGAUAGUUUCGGAGUGCAAGGAAGUCCGUUCGCGACGACGCCUCGCUCGAAUCGUUGGCAGGGCGCCGGGAAGGUAAUAAAGUGAAAAUCAUCCGAAGCCAACGUGUCCCGUCUCGGAGGUGCGUCCCUCGAGUCGCAGUCGGUUCGUCCGCGGACAUCGGCCAUUUUGGAAGUGUCCGGUCUCGGAACGGUGCGAGAAGAGUCCGCGAGGAGCGCCACCUCGAUAGCGUGGAGCGCCGUCAGUCUCGGUCCUCGCUUCGAGAGAAAGAAAUGCCUGUGCGUCCGGCGCCGCGGCGAGCAGUAGCAGCGCGAUCAAGGCGAUCAAAGAUGGCGGUUCAGGCCCCCCCGAGCCUCUAACACCGACACGCCAGAUAACUCGCGCGCUUUUCUCGGCCGUGCCCACGGGAACUCGUCCAGUUAUCGCUACGUAUCGUGCAAGCGUCCGCGGCGAGCCUACGCGGCUGCGGCAUGGAGCUCCGCGUCGGGAACAAGUACCGGCUCGGCCGGAAAAUCGGGAGCGGCUCCUUCGGCGACAUUUAUCUAGGUACCGAUAUCACCACUGGCGCGGAAGUCGCCAUAAAGCUGGAAUGCAUAAAAACUCGGCACCCCCAGCUUCACAUAGAGUCCAAGUUUUACAAGAUGAUGCAGAGCGGCGUUGGAAUUCCUACCAUAAGAUGGUGCGGUUCGGAAGGUGACUAUAAUGUCAUGGUGAUGGAGCUUCUCGGACCGUCGCUAGAAGAUCUUUUUAAUUUCUGUUCUCGGAGAUUUUCUUUAAAAACCGUUCUACUGCUCGCCGAUCAGUUGAUAUCCAGAACUGACUACGUCCACAGCCGUCACUUUAUUCACCGGGACAUCAAACCGGAUAAUUUCCUAAUGGGGUUGGGGAAAAAGGGUAAUCUUGUAUAUAUCAUAGACUUCGGACUGGCGAAAAAAUAUCGCGACAGUCACACCCACAAGCACAUACCUUACCGAGAAAACAAGAAUUUGACCGGUACGGCCAGAUACGCGAGCAUAAACACGCACUUGGGAGCCGAGCAGUCCCGAAGAGACGAUCUCGAGUCACUAGGCUACGUGCUCAUGUACUUUAACCGCGGCAGCUUGCCCUGGCAAGGGCUGAAGGCCGCGACCAAGAGGCAAAAGUACGAGCGCAUCUCCGAGAAGAAGAUGUCCACGUCCAUCGAGGAGCUGUGCAAGGGCUAUCCUGCGGAAUUCGUUUCGUACCUGACGUACUGUCGGGAGCUGCACUUCGAGGAGAGGCCCGACUACUCGUACCUUCGUCAGAUAUUUCGAACGCUGUUCCACAAUCAGGGAUUCACCUACGACUACGUGUUCGACUGGAACAUGUUGAAAUUCGGCAACACCAGGCAGCCGGCCCCUUGGGCCCGACAGGCCCCGGCCCACUCGCAGCCUACCAACGCCGCGUUACCUUCGACGGCCAACAACGAUCAGGAACAUCGACUGAGGCCUUACGCGCGACAGUGCCUCGAGAAGGCCUCCGGCGGCAACGUGGGACCCACGGUGGGGACGUCGGGGCGCCGACAGAAGCACGAGGGCAUGGACGCUCGCGGGGACCAGGAUAACCAGGAGAAGAACGAGCUGCAAGUGUCCGCCGGUGGAGGCCAGGAGAGAAGGAUCAGCCUGCGGCUGCACCGCAACAACGUGGCCGCGGCCGCGGCCGCGGCGGCGGUUGCGGGGGAGAUGCAGCCCAAGUCCAAGAAGCGCCAAUGCGACGGCCAUGGCCCCGCCCACCCUGGUGGCCAGGCGGGCAAGCGUUCGGCACAGCAAGUGAGUCGGCCGGCGACGGCGACGGCGGCGCAACCUCCACCGCCACCCCCACCAGCGCCACCCACCGGUCGCCAGAGGAGCAAGUAGGGCCGGAGUAGGUCCCCCGGGUGCUCGGUCGCCCCGCCCGGCCCGGGGCAGGAGGGAAAAAUAGGAAAACGUACUACCGUUACUAUUACCGCUACUACUCUACUACUACUCCCGCUACUCCUACUACGCUACCGCUACCGCUACUACUACUACUACUACUACUACCGCGUCGGACGUAUAGCGAGUCGAGGAGGGCGGCCGCGCGUCCCCGGGGCCCAGGGUGGAGGAGCCUCUCUCUUCCUUCGCGUUCCCCCCGGCUCGAGGGACGCGGAACACUGCCGUCGAGGAAGAGGACUCUGGCCGCGCGGUCGGCCUCCUCCUCGAGGGCGAUCGAGCCGAGCCCCUUGGAGGAGGACGCGCGGACGAGAGGACGUGGCGGCGUUCGGAGGUCGCUCUCCUACUUUUACUCCGUUUUAUUUCCCUUUUUUCGUUAACGCGAGGAACUUUUUGUCCGCGGCAUAUCCGAGCGAUUGGACGGCCUAGAAGUCGAAGCUCGCGGGCGUCUUUCUCGAGUCGGGGGGAGACGAGCUCCCCGCGUCCUGACUACACCGUUGCGAGAGAAAGAGACGACGCGCGUUAAGGUCCUUUUUUAAUAUCAACUUAACGAAGAACGUAGGCACAGGGAUCUAGGUUCGGACGCGAAAUACCGAUGGACCGUAUCCCGGACUAGUACAUAACUCGUAGGUAAGGUACGUUGGUUUAGGGUUUGCCGAAAUCGAUCGACCGCUUGGGGUCGCGAGUCCUCGCGGAACCUCUUCCCCGGGUUCGAGGCGAUUUGCUUAAACCUUUGCGUUAAGUUUCGCUGGUUACACCGUGGACCGGGCGAGGAAGCGAAGCGGUCGAUUAAUUUCGCAAUUUGAAUCGUCUUUGGUCCUACCUAACCACUAACGCGGAUCGGUACCGAGCGACGGCGACGACGACGACGACGACGGCAAAUACGACGACGACAACGACGACGAGGUGGCAAUGUGUUUCAAGUGUUAACCGCUUUAUCGAAAGUCGAACGGUUUGUAUGUGUAUAUACAUUAAUUGUACGCCCAGGAGGGAGUUCGCGGACUCCCCGUGACCCGGAGGAGACGAGACGAACGAAGCCACGUCGAAGGGCCGGCUUCUCUCCUCUCGCUUCCUCUCUCGUCAAAGUCGUUUCGGUAACGUCGACUUUAGGCGGGGCGUUUUACGCGGCGAAGCGUCAGGAAGCCCUCGAGGGGCUCGGUCGCCGCACGGAAGACGGAAACGACGUCCCGACAGAGAGGGAUCACAGGAAUCCUGGUUCCGGAAGGAAGGAGGGAGAGCGACUCGAUCGGUUCCCGGUCGACCGGGCGGUCGCCAGAGAGUUCGGGAUCUUCGUCGGGGCGAUAAUCGACAGGUCACGCGUGUGCGUUCGUGUACAUACAUAAGGAUCUUUUAAUCGACUAGAAGAGGACAGGAGGAGGAUCGUCCGUGCAUGUAGCGAGAGGGAUAAAUCGAAUUUACUCGAAGAGUAAAUUACCACGAAGGAGAGAAAGCAAUGAGAUACUUGUAAUUGGA
rnacentral:misc_RNA from 1 species